CGAAACCCUUCUCUGUUUCUCUCUUCCACUUCCUUCCCCUUAAUCUAGUAGCUAUCUCCAUUCUUUGGUUGUUAUAUUCUUUCGUUGAAUUGGAGGCUACUCGAUUCCGGCCUCGAUACCACCUCCAAAUCUGUACUCGAAACAGAAUACAGAUGGAAGUUUCAUCGCACUCACUUUGUCAGGGUAUAGGAGGAUGAUUCAGAAAUCGUAUUGGUAGAUGGUUGUGUGACUUUUCUAGAUCUCUGCACGGACGUUGCGCCCUGAAACACGAUCUUUGUAUGGGAUAGGAUCUUGGUUAUAAAAAGAUAAUUUCUGAGAGCGACUUUAUGGAAAUGAUUAAUAUUUUUUAUAUUGCUGAUGUGAGCGUACAUGCCAAUGUGACCUUAAUUUUGGAGACAAAGGGGUUGUUGAGUUGACAUUGGCAAAUGUUGCUGGAAUUUAUCAUAGAGAAGUAAACGUGGCUAGAUUUACUGGCAAAAAGGGCACCCCGAAACAGAAUUACGUUCAAAACCUGGCUUAAACCACCAGAUGAUCUUUUCUCUGCUCUAGGACACAGUUUUGGCUUAGCUUCUGUUAGUUUUCUUUUAUUUUCUUAUGUACAAAA